rnacentral:rRNA from 1 species
GUGGGGAAUCUUCCGCAAUGGACGAAAGUCUGACGGAGCAACGCCGCGUGAGUGAUGACGGCCUUCGGGUUGUAAAGCUCUGUGAUCGGGGACGAAUGGCUGGUAUGCUAAUACCAUAUCAGAGUGACGGUACCCGAAUAGCAAGCCACGGCUAACUACGUGCCAGCAGCCGCGGUAAUACGUAGGUGGCAAGCGUUGUCCGGAAUUAUUGGGCGUAAAGCGCGCGCAGGCGGCUUCUUAAGUCCAUCUUAAAAGUGCGGGGCUUAACCCCGUGAUGGGAUGGAGACUGGGAGGCUGGAGUAUCGGAGAGGAAAGUGGAAUUCCUAGUGUAGCGGUGAAAUGCGUAGAGAUUAGGAAGAACACCGGUGGCGAAGGCGACUUUCUGGACGACAACUGACGCUGAGGCGCGAAAGCGUGGGGAGCAAACAGGAUUAGAUACCCUAGUAGUCC